AAAAACUCAAUUCCUGAGUUUUUGUGUUUAACGUUUGACUGUCCGUCUUAUAUGAAAUUUUUUUAUAAUUAGUAUUUUCAUUGUUGUUAGAUGAUAAAUCAUGAAUAAUAUUUUAUGUGUGAUUUAUCUUUUUAAUUUUUUUUAUAAUAUUUUCAAAUAAGACGGACGGUCAAACGUUAGACACGAAAACCUAUA
rfam:Oryza sativa Japonica Group DNA, chromosome 6, cultivar: Nipponbare, complete sequence.